UGAUGAACGCUAGCGGCAGGCUUAACACAUGCAAGUCGAGGGGCAGCGCGGGGCGGCAACGUCCUGGCGGCGACCGGCGGAAGGGUGCGUAACGCGUGAGCGACAUGCCCGUUGCCCGGGGACAACCGGUGGAAACGCCGACUAAUCCCCGAUGGGACGGAGGCCCUCAUGGGUCUCUGUUGAAAGUUACGGCGGCGACGGAUUGGCUCGCGUCCGAUUAGCUUGUUGGCGGGGUAACGGCCCACCAAGGCUACGAUCGGUAGGGGUUCUGAGAGGAAGGUCCCCCACAAUGGAACUGAGACACGGUCCAUACUCCUACGGGAGGCAGCAGUGAGGAAUAUUGGUCAAUGGGCGGAAGCCUGAACCAGCCAUGCCGCGUGCGGGAAGGAGGCCCUAUGGGCUGUGAACCGCUUUUGCCUGGGGGCAAUAAGGGCGUCGUGCACGUCCGAUGAGAGUACCAGGCGAAUAAGCAUCGGCUAACUCCGUGCCAGCAGCCGCGGUAAUACGGGGGAUGCGAGCGUUAUCCGGAUUCAUUGGGUUUAAAGGGUGCGUAGGCUGUGCGUCAAGUCAGGGGUGAAAUUCCGGGGCUCAACUCCGGGGCUGCCCUUGAUACUGUCGCGCUGGAGUGCGGAUGCCGCCGGAGGAAUGAGUGGUGUAGCGGUGAAAUGCUUAGAUAUCACUCAGAACACCGAUUGCGAAGGCAUCUGGCGAAUCCGUAACUGACGCUGAGGCACGAAAGCGUGGGGAUAGAACAGGAUUAGAUACCCUGGUAUUCCACGCCGUAAACGAUGAUGGCUAACCGCCGGCGACACACUGUCGGUGGCCAAGCGAAAGCGAUAAGCCAUCCACCUGGGGAGUACGUCGGCAACGAUGCAACUCAAAUGAAUUGACGG
rnacentral:rRNA from 1 species